rnacentral:piRNA from 1 species
UGUGACGUGGUCAGCCUCAUUCAUCCU